rnacentral:ncRNA from 1 species
ACCAUCCAUGUCUUGGGGAGCAAAAUGUCCAAUGAUCGUUAAGUGAGGGCAUUGAUGCUGACGACAUUUAAAAUCUAUUGAAAA